GACGAACGCUGGCGGCGUGCUUAACACAUGCAAGUCGAACGGAAAGGCCCUGCUUUUGUGGGGUGCUCGAGUGGCGAACGGGUGAGUAACACGUGAGUAACCUGCCCUUGACUUUGGGAUAACUUCAGGAAACUGGGGCUAAUACCGGAUAGGAGCUCCUGCUGCAUGGUGGGGGUUGGAAAGUUUCGGCGGUUGGGGAUGGACUCGCGGCUUAUCAGCUUGUUGGUGGGGUAGUGGCUUGCCAAGGCUUUGACGGGUAGCCGGCCUGAGAGGGUGACCGGCCACAUUGGGACUGAGAUACGGCCCAGACUCCUACGGGAGGCAGCAGUGGGGAAUAUUGCACAAUGGGCGGAAGCCUGAUGCAGCAACGCCGCGUGCGGGAUGACGGCCUUCGGGUUGUAAACCGCUGUCGCCUGUGACGAAGCGGGAGUGACGGUAAUGGGUAAAGAAGCACCGGCUAACUACGUG
rnacentral:rRNA from 1 species